UACGGAGGAUGCGAGCGUUAUCCGGAUUUAUUGGGUUUAAAGGGUGCGUAGGCGGAUCGUUAAGUCAGUGGUCAAAUUGAGGGGCUCAACCCCUUCCCGCCAUUGAAACUGGCGAUCUUGAGUGGAGGAGAAGUAUGCGGAAUGCGUGGUGUAGCGGUGAAAUGCAUAGAUAUCACGCAGAACCCCGAUUGCGAAGGCAGCAUGCCGGCUUCCGACUGACGCUGAAGCACGAAAGCGUGGGGAUCGAACAGG
rnacentral:rRNA from 1 species